rnacentral:rRNA from 1 species
CAGGCUUAACACAUGCAAGUCGAGGGGCAUCAGGAAGAAAGCUUGCUUUCUUUGCUGGCGACCGGCGCACGGGUGAGUAACACGUAUCCAACCUGCCCUUUACUCGGGGAUAGCCUUUCGAAAGAAAGAUUAAUACCCGAUGGCAUAAUGAUUCCGCAUGGUUUCAUUAUUAAAGGAUUCCGGUAAAGGAUGGGGAUGCGUUCCAUUAGGUUGUUGGUGAGGUAACGGCUCACCAAGCCUUCGAUGGAUAGGGGUUCUGAGAGGAAGGUCCCCCACAUUGGAACUGAGACACGGUCCAAACUCCUACGGGAGGCAGCAGUGAGGAAUAUUGGUCAAUGGGCGCUAGCCUGAACCAGCCAAGUAGCGUGAAGGAUGAAGGCUCUAUGGGUCGUAAACUUCUUUUAUAUAAGAAUAAAGUGCAGUAUGUAUACUGUUUUGUAUGUAUUAUAUGAAUAAGGAUCGGCUAACUCCGUGCCAGCAGCCGCGGUAAUACGGAGGAUCCGAGCGUUAUCCGGAUUUAUUGGGUUUAAAGGGAGCGUAGGUGGACUGGUAAGUCAGUUGUGAAAGUUUGCGGCUCAACCGUAAAAUUGCAGUUGAUACUGUCAGUCUUGAGUACAGUAGAGGUGGGCGGAAUUCGUGGUGUAGCGGUGAAAUGCUUAGAUAUCACGAAGAACUCCGAUUGCGAAGGCAGCUCACUGGACUGCAACUGACACUGAUGCUCGAAAGUGUGGGUAUCAAACAGGAUUAGAUACCCUGGUAGUCCACACAGUAAACGAUGAAUACUCGCUGUUUGCGAUAUACAGUAAGCGGCCAAGCGAAAGCAUUAAGUAUUCCACCUGGGGAGUACGCCGGCAACGGUGAAACUCAAAGGAAUUGACGGGGGCCCGCACAAGCGGAGGAACAUGUGGUUUAAUUCGAUGAUACGCGAGGAACCUUACCCGGGCUUAAAUUGCAGUGGAAUGAUGUGGAAACAUGUCAGUGAGCAAUCACCGCUGUGAAGGUGCUGCAUGGUUGUCGUCAGCUCGUGCCGUGAGGUGUCGGCUUAAGUGCCAUAACGAGCGCAACCCUUAUCUUUAGUUACUAACAGGUUAUGCUGAGGACUCUAGAGAGACUGCCGUCGUAAGAUGUGAGGAAGGUGGGGAUGACGUCAAAUCAGCACGGCCCUUACGUCCGGGGCUACACACGUGUUACAAUGGGGGGUACAGAAGGCAGCUAGCGGGUGACCGUAUGCUAAUCCCAAAAGCCUCUCUCAGUUCGGAUCGAAGUCUGCAACCCGACUUCGUGAAGCUGGAUUCGCUAGUAAUCGCGCAUCAGCCACGGCGCGGUGAAUACGUUCCCGGGCCUUGUACACACCGCCCGUCAAGCCAUGGGAGCCGGGGGUACCUGAAGUACGUAACCGCAAGGAUCGUCCUAGGGUAAAACUGGUGACUGGGGCUAAGUCG